UACGGGGGGUGCGAGCGUUGUCCGGAAUCACUGGGCGUAAAGGGCGCGUAGGUGGUUUGAUAAGGCUGUGGUGAAAGCCCGGGGCUCAACCCCGGGUCUGCCGUGGCGACUGUCAGACUUGAGGGCUCGAGAGGCAGACGGAAUUCCGGGUGUAGCGGUGGAAUGCGUAGAGAUCAGGCAGAACACCUGGGGCGAAGGCGGCCAGCUGGGCCGUCCCUGACGCUGAGGCGCGAAGGCGUGGGGAGCGAACGGG
rnacentral:rRNA from 1 species